UCUGGGGUGGUGAAAUUGGUAAACACGCAUCACUGUUCAUGGUGUGAUUGAAUAUACUGCAAUGUAUUUAAUCUUGGAGGUUCGAAUCCUUCCCCCAGAGCCA
rnacentral:tRNA from 1 species